rnacentral:rRNA from 1 species
GACGAACGCUGGCGGCGCGCCUAACACAUGCAAGUCGAGCGAUGAAACUUUAACAGAACCCUUCGGGGCGGAGGGAAGGGGGAGUAGCGGCGGACGGGUGAGUAACACGUGAGUAACCUGCCUUAGACAUUGGGAUAGCCACGGGAAACCGGGAUUAAUACCAAAUAAAAUCAUAAUGACACAUGUCAUAACGAACAAAACUCCGGUGGGCUAACUUGGAGUCGCGUUCCAUUAGCAGGUGGGCAGGGUAAAAGCCUACCAAGGGGACGAUGGGGAGCCGGCCUGAGAGAGAGAGCCGCCACACUGGAACGGAGAAGCGGUCGAGACUCUUACGGGAGGGAGGAGUGGGGGAUAUUGCAAAAUGGAGGGUGUGCAGAUGCAGCGAGGACGCGUGAGCGAUGAAGGUUGUGGAGUCGUAAAGUUCUUUUAUAUGGGAAGAUAAUGACGGUACCAUAAGAAAAAGCCCCGGCUAACUACGUG